rnacentral:tRNA from 1 species
GGAAUUGUAGCUUAAGUCCAGAGCGUCGAGCUUUUAACUCGAAUGUGAAAAUAAUAUUCCAAUUCUA